UGUUUUAAACUUACAGACCCCUGCAGUCUUUAGUUGGGCUACAGAAAAUAAGCUGUAUGCUUGCCUUAUGAUCUUUUUUAUUUCCAAUGCAAUUGAGGGGCAGUUACUAUCUACAGGAGCUUUCGAAAUUUUGUUUAAUGAUGUCCCAAUCUGGUCAAAAUUAGAGACAGGUCGCAUUCCAUCCCCCAGUGAAAUGUUUCAAAUGAUUGAAAAUAAUCUAAGAUAUGCGAAAACAACAUAGCAAUAGUCCAUUGUCCUGCUAGCUGGUUGGAAAUCCUAAAGGUACUUAUGUUUGUGUGC
rnacentral:sRNA from 1 species